rnacentral:rRNA from 1 species
CCUACGGGUGGCAGCAGUGGGGAAUAUUGCACAAUGGGGGAAACCCUGAUGCAGCGACGCCGCGUGAGCGAUGAAGUAUUGAGGGAUGUAAAGCUCUAUAAGCAGGGAAGAAAAUGACGGUACGUGACUAAGAAGCACCGGCUAACGACGAGCCAGCAGCAGCGGUAAUACGUAGGGGGCAAGCGUUAUCCGGAUUUACGGGGUGUAAAGGGAGCGUAGACGGUCCUGCAAGCCAGAUGUGAAAGCCCGGGGCUCAACCCCCGGACUGCAUUUGGAACUGUAAGGCUAGAGUGUCGGAGAGGCAGGCGGAAUUCCUAGUGUAGCGGUGAAAUGCGUAGAUAUUAGGAGGAACACCAGUGGCGAAGGCGGCCUGCUGGACGAUGACUGACGUUGAGGCUCGAAAGCGUGGGGAGCAAACAGGAUUAGAUACCCUUGUAGUC